CCUACGGGAGGCAGCAGUGAGGAAUAUUGGUCAAUGGUCGUAAGACUGAACCAGCCAAGUCGCGUGCAGGAUGACGGCCCUAUGGGUUGUAAACUGCUUUUAUGCGGGGAUAAAAUGCGUCACGUGUGAUUUUUUGUAGGUACCGCAUGAAUAAGGACCGGCUAAUUCCGUGCCAGCAGCCGCGGUAAUACGGAAGGUCCGGGCGUUAUCCGGAUUUAUUGGGUGUAAAGGGAGCGUAGGCCGCAUGUUAAGCCUGCCGUGAAAUGCCGUGGCUCAACCAUGGCACUGCGGGGGGAACUGGAUUGCUUGAGUGCGCGGAAGGUAUGCGGAAUGCGUGGUGUAGCGGUGAAAUGCUUAGAUAUCACGAAGAACUCCGAUUGCGAAGGCAGCAUACGGAGGCGCAACUGACGCUGAAGCUCGAAGGCGCGGGUAUCGAACAGGAUUAGAUACCCCGGUAGUC
rnacentral:rRNA from 1 species